UAUGUGAUCGUCUCUCGCAUAUCAAUAAGCGGAGGAAAAGAAACUAACAAGGAUUCCCCUAGUAACGGCGAGUGAAGCGGGAAGAGCUCAAAUUUGAAAUCUUAAAGGGUUUCCCUUUACGAAUUGUAGUUUAAAGAAGUGUUUUCUGUUGAGGUUUUGGUAAAAGUUCUGUGGAAUAGGACAUCAUAGAGGGUGAGAAUCCCGUAUUUGACCUUUACUUUCAACUUUGUGAUACACUUUCAAAGAGUCGGAUUGUUUGGGAAUGCAGUCCAAAAUGGGUGGUAAAUUUCAUCUAAAGCUAAAUAUUGGCGAGAGACCGAUAGCGAACAAGUACCGUGAGGGAAAGAUGAAAAGAACUUUGAAAAGAGAGUUAAACAGUACGUGAAAUUGUCAAAAGGGAAGCGUGUGACACCAGUGUUGUUUUUCUGAAAAUCAAUUAAAGAACUGUUUAUGCUAAGCUGUUUAGACUUUAUCAGCUAACUGUUUAGUUUUGAGCUUUUCUUUAAUGCACUUUUCAGUUAACAAGUCAACAUCAAUUUCUUUUGCUGUAAAAAAGCUUGAGGAAGGUGGCUUGAGAUUCGUCUUAAGUGUUUAUAGCCUCUUGCCUAUGCAGUCGGAGAGAUUGAGGUCUGCAGCGUAGAUCCUUCGGGGCUAAAUGCAUUUGUGCUAAGUUAUAGCAUUUUAUAGACAACUUGUUGACUAUGAUUUGUCUUGUAGCUUACUCGCUUAUGUUAUUUUACCUACGCUUAGGAUGUUGAGUAGCGACAUACGCAC
rnacentral:rRNA from 1 species